rnacentral:rRNA from 1 species
UACGAAGGGGGCUAGCGUUGCUCGGAAUCACUGGGCGUAAAGCGCACGUAGGCGGAUCUUUAAGUCAGGGGUGAAAUCCUGGAGCUCAACUCCAGAACUGCCUUUGAUACUGGGGGAUCUCGAGUCCGGAAGAGGUGAGUGGAACUCCGAGUGUAGAGGUGAAAUUCGUAGAUAUUCGGAAGAACACCAGUGGCGAAGGCGGCUCACUGGUCCGGUACUGACGCUGAGGUGCGAAAGCGUGGGGAGCAAACAGGG